CCUACGGGAGGCAGCAGUGAGGAAUAUUGGUCAAUGGCCGAGAGUCUGAACCAGCCAAGUCGCGUGAAGGAUGACUGCCCUAUGGGUUGUCAACUUCUUUUAUAAGGGAGUAACAUGUUCCACGUGUGGGAUUUUGUAUGUACCAUAUGAAUAAGGAUCGGCUAACUCCGUGCCAGCAGCCGCGGUAAUACGGAGGAUCCGAGCGUUAUCCGGAUUUAUUGGGGUUAAAGGGAGCGUAGGUGGAUUGUUAAGUCAGUUGUGAAAGUUGUCGGCUCAACCGUAAUCUUGCAGUUGAAACUGAUGGUCUUGAGUACAGUAGAGGUGUGCGGAAUGCGUGGUGUAGCGGUGAAAUGCUUAGAUAUCACGAAGAACUCCGAUUGCGAAGGCAGCUCACUGGACUGCAACUGACACUGAAGCUCGAAAGUGUGGGUAUCAAACAGGAUUAGAUACCCGAGUAGUC
rnacentral:rRNA from 1 species